UACGUAGGGUGCAAGCGUUGUCCGGAAUUAUUGGGCGUAAAGAGCUCGUAGGCGGUUUGUUGCGUCGGCUGUGAAAUCCCGAGGCUCAACCUCGGGUCUGCAGUCGAUACGAGCAAACUAGAGUGUUGCAGGGGAGACUGGAAUUCCUGGUGUAGCGGUGAAAUGCGCAGAUAUCAGGAGGAACACCUGCGGCGAAGGCGGGUUGCUGGGCUGACACUGACGCUGAACUGCGAAAGCUAGGGGAGCGAACGGG
rnacentral:rRNA from 1 species